ACUUUGCAAUGUGCGAAAGCACGACAAGGUUAAUCCGAGUGUUUCCUGCUAAAGGAAUCUUUUGUCAGUCCUAGAAACACUGAUGAAUAAGGGGUGGGCAAGUUCUGGUGUCAGCCGCCGCGGUAAAACCAGCACCUCAAGUGGUCAGGAUGAUUAUUGGGCCUAAAGCAUCCGUAGCCGGCUGCAUAAGUCUUCGGUUAAAUUCAUAUGCUCAACAUAUGGGGCUGCCGGAGAUACUGUGCAGCUAGGGAGUGGGAGAGGUAGACGGUACUCGGUAGGAAGGGGUAAAUCCUUUGAUCUAUUGAUGACCACCUGUGGCGAAGGCGGUCUACUAGAACAC
rnacentral:rRNA from 1 species